GAUGAACGCUAGCGACAGGCUUAACACAUGCAAGUCGAGGGGCAGCGGGGGAUGCGUUCGCGCAUUCUGCCGGCGACCGGCGCACGGGUGAGUAACACGUAUGCAACCUGCCCCGUCCAGGGGGAUAAUCGGCGGAAACGCCGUCUAAUACCGCGUAUAUCGAUUCCGGGCAUCCGGGAUUGAAGAAAGGGCCUUAGGGUCCGGGACGGGAUGGGCAUGCGGCGCAUUAGGAAGUUGGCGGUGUAACGGACCACCAAUCCGUCGAUGCGUAGGGGUUCUGAGAGGAAGGCCCCCCACACUGGUACUGAGACACGGACCAG
rnacentral:rRNA from 1 species